GAAGGCUAUGUUGGCCGGGCGACGGUUGUCCCGGUUUAAGCGUGUAGGCUGGUUUUCCAGGCAAAUCCGGAAAAUCAAGGCUGAGGCGUGAUGACGAGGCACUACGGUGCUGAAGCAACAAAUGCCCUGCUUCCAGGAAAAGCCUCUAAGCAUCAGGUAACAUCAAAUCGUACCCCAAACCGACACAGGUGGUCAGGUAGAGAAUACCAAGGCGCUUGAGAGAACUCGGGUGAAGGAACUAGGCAAAAUGGUGCCGUAACUUCGGGAGAAGGCACGCUGAUAUGUAGGUGAAGUCCCUUGCGGAUGGAGCUGAAAUCAGUCGAAGAUACCAGCUGGCUGCAACUGUUUAUUAAAAACACAGCACUGUGCAAACACGAAAGUGGACGUAUACGGUGUGACGCCUGCCCGGUGCCGGAAGGUUAAUUGAUGGGGUCAGCGCAAGCGAAGCUCUUGAUCGAAGCCCCGGUAAACGGCGGCCGUAACUAUAACGGUCCUAAGGUAGCGAAAUUCCUUGUCGGGUAAGUUCCGACCUGCACGAAUGGCGUAAUGAUGGCCAGGCUGUCUCCACCCGAGACUCAGUGAAAUUGAACUCGCUGUGAAGAUGCAGUGUACCCGCGGCAAGACGGAAAGACCCCGUGAACCUUUACUAUAGCUUGACACUGAACAUUGAGCCUUGAUGUGUAGGAUAGGUGGGAGGCUUUGAAGUGUGGACGCCAGUCUGCAUGGAGCCGGCCUUGAAAUACCACCCUUUAAUGUUUGAUGUUCUAACGUGGACCCGUGAUCCGGGUUGCGGACAGUGUCUGGUGGGUAGUUUGACUGGGGCGGUCUCCUCCUAAAGAGUAACGGAGGAGCACGAAGGUUGGCUAAUCCUGGUCGGACAUCAGGAGGUUAGUGCAAUGGCAUAAGCCAGCUUGACUGCGAGCGUGACGGCGCGAGCAGGUGCGAAAGCAGGUCAUAGUGAUCCGGUGGUUCUGAAUGGAAGGGCCAUCGCUCAACGGAUAAAAGGUACUCCGGGGAUAACAGGCUGAUACCGCCCAAGAGUUCAUAUCGACGGCGGUGUUUGGCACCUCGAUGUCGGCUCAUCACAUCCUGGGGCUGAAGUAGGUCCCAAGGGUAUGGCUGUUCGCCAUUUAAAGUGGUACGCGAGCUGGGUUUAGAACGUCGUGAGACAGUUCGGUCCCUAUCUGCCGUGGGCGCUGGAGAACUGAGGGGGGCUGCUCCUAGUACGAGAGGACCGGAGUGGACGCAUCACUGGUGUUCGGGUUGUCAUGCCAAUGGCACUGCCCGGUAGCUAAAUGCGGAAGAGAUAAGUGCUGAAAGCAUCUAAGCACGAAACUUGCCCCGAGAUGAGUUCUCCCUGACCCUUUAAGGGUCCUGAAGGAACGUUGAAGACGACGACGUUGAUAGGCCGGGUGUGUAAGCGCAGCGAUGCGUUGAGCUAACCGGUACUAAUGAACCGUGAGGCUUAAC
rnacentral:rRNA from 1 species